rnacentral:lncRNA from 1 species
GGGUUCUAGAGGUUCUACAUCUGUCUUUUUGUGUGAUUUUACAUGAGGUGUGUUGUUAUACAUAUGAACAGCGUGUUACAUGAUUAAGAUCAAAAGUGGUUGCAAGUCAAACCAGAAUUUUCUACACUAUGCCAUGUCAAGUUUGCCUCCUUUUGCAUCUAUGAUGAGACAGCCAUUAAGUACUGUGACUUGCUGUGAUUCCUCCUUUAAGGUCUUCCUGUGUCUUGUCGUGUCUUUCCACAGGACAGCCUGUGCUGUGGGAAUGGAAGAAGGGAAGAAGCUGAUGUCUGUAAGAGCUUUAGGUCAGAUGGAACCUUGCAUAAGAAGAGAAAAGAGGCAAAAAUUAUUGGAAAGGAAACCAGGAGAAGACAUAUAUGUGCCUGGAUGGGAGAACUCAGUCUGCCAGCCAGAAAUACAUGAAUGUCACUGUGCCUUUCACUGACCUGUAAAAGCAAGUGGUGCAGGCAGACAAGUUUCACAACAAAAAUAUAGAGGCUGGAAGGGUGGAUGUAAUAGAAGUGCUGACACAAACUUAAUUAAAGCACUGAAGAAAGGAUAGCUUUGUGAAAAAAAUAAUGUGGGAAUAGAACAUUUAUGUCAUCUUCUGUUAGCUACUUACAGGUGGCUGCAGGACUGUUUCUGUUGUCUUGUCUGCAGGUCUAUUACUAAUUUUAGCUUGGUCGCUGCUUCCAUUUCCCUCCUACUUGAGAUACUUUGCAAAAAUAUGUGCAACUCCAUGAAAUUUGAGGCAACCCUGUGCUGGUAACUUUCACCUAAACAAACAGGAGGCUGAAGGUAAUUAUUCCAGGUCCUUAGAAUGGGAAAAUCUGGGUUCAUCAUCCCUUUGCUCUCCCAUGACGCUCAUCUUGGUUAUCCUCCAGUCCAUCCGAUUGUGAAACACGGAAGAAUCAACUUAGAAGGGAGCCUUAGUUGAAAGGCUCCAUGUAAAUGAAAAUUUAAUUAUUAUGAAACCACCUCAAAGAAUACGCCCUCGUUUCACCUGUCCUAUUUUGCUGGUACCUCAGCCUGAGAAAGCUGGCAGAACGAAGAGGGCUUGUUGGAGGAAUACAGAGUUCAGGCUUAGGGCCCUGCUGAGUGCAAGGCAGCAGGUACUCAUGGUGAGCAGCCAGACCUCCACACAUCCUGAAUCCAGUGCUGACUUUUCCUGUCAUUCCUCCCUCCUUGCCAGCAAAGGCCAUGUGCUUUCAGCUUCUUAAAAACUGUUCCUGAUUCUGCCCAUUGCCACAAUACAUGGUGGGGGAAGUGGACAAGGAAAGGAUGUGUCUGAUAGAUUUGCAGUUUGGAAGGGUACAGGGAAUAGGGAUACCUUGAUUUCCCAUGCAUUGCCAUCAAACUGAAAAACCCCAAGUUUAAGCUUCCUCAGCUUUCCAGCUUUAGCCACGAUUUUUACUUUUUUUUCAUUUUAAUUUUAAUUUUUAUUU